UACGGAGGGUGCGAGCGUUGUUCGGAAUUAUUGGGCGUAAAGGGCGUGCAGGCGGUCUGCUAAGUCCGAUGUGAAAGCCCCGGGCCUACCCCGGGAAGUGCAUUGGAAACUGGCAGACUUGAAUACGGCAGGGGGCAGUGGAAUUCCUGGUGUAGAGGUGAAAUUCGCAGAUAUCAGGAAGAACACCGGUGGCGAAGGCGGCUGCCUGGGCCGAUAUUGACGCUGAGACGCGAAAGCGUGGGGAGCAAACAGG
rnacentral:rRNA from 1 species